AUACUUACCUGGCAGGGGAGAUACCGUGAUCACGAAGGGGGUUCUCUCAAGGUGAGGCUCAUCUGUUGCGCUGCGGGUGUGUUGACCUCUGCGAUGUCCCCAAAUGCGGGAAACUCGACUGCAUAAUUUGUGGUAGUCGGGAGCUGCAUGCGUGCUUUCCCCU
rnacentral:snRNA from 1 species